rnacentral:tRNA from 1 species
GGGGCCGUAGCUCAGUUGGGAGAGCGUCGCGUUCGCAAUGCGAAGGUCGUGGGUUCAACCCCCAUCGGCUCCA